rnacentral:lncRNA from 1 species
GUUAAUUGAUGUCAAUUGUUGAGGAGAGAGUGAUCGAGUUGACUUGGAGAUAGCCAACAUUGUUACUUCUUUCCUUGUUUCAAAAGUUCAUUAAAUCAUCAUUAGAAAAAUUAAUUAGUUGUUUAUUAGAAAUAAGGAGAGGGGUUGCUGCUCCAUUUAAAGCUAGGGGUUUUGGUGCAUCUCUUUAGUUCUUUUUAGAAGGAGGCCGAGUGGGCCUUGACUAUAAGCCCAUGGCCCAUUUUUUUUCACACCUCACAUGGGGCGCCUCAACCCCAGCCAAGCCCAUUUUAUUUAUUUAUUUUUCUUUUUUUGCUUGUUCAUUUUGUUUGUUUUGUUUAAUAAUAAAAGUUAUAGUAAUAAAAAUAAUAACUUUCUCUAAAGGUUUUUUUUAUAGAAAAAUAUAUUUUUAUUUUUUAUUUUCUUUUUUUAGAGUUUCUUUUUUUAUUUAACUAGAUUUUUUUUCUUCUUGUUUUUAUCU